CAUUGAAACACCAAUUCUCAUACAAUCACUGAAAUUAAGCAAUGUCAUGUCUGGUUAGUACAUAGAUGGGUGACUGCUUGGGAAUACCAGGUGCUGCAAGC